GUGCACGCUGGCGGUAGGCCUAACACAUGCCAGUCGAACGGCAGCACCGUAAGAGCUUGCUCUUCCGGGUGGCGAGUGGCGGACGAGUGAGGAAUACAUCGGAAUCUACUUUUUCGUGGGGGAUAACGUAGGGAAACUUACGCUAAUACCGCAUACGACCUACGGGUGAAAGCAGGGGAUCUUCGGACCUUGCGCGUUUGAAUGAGCCGAUGUCGGAUUAGCUAGUUGGCGGGGUAAAGGCCCACCAAGGCGACGAUCCGUAGCUGGGCUGAGAGGAUGAGCAGCCACACUGGAACUGAGACACGGUCCAGACUCCUACGGGAGGCAGCAGUGGGGAAUAUUGGACAAUGGGCGCAAGCCUGAUCCAGCCAUACCGCGUGGGUGAAGAAGGCCUUCGGGUUGUAAAGCCCUUUUGUUGGGAAAGAAAAGCAGCAGGUUAAUACCCCGCUGUUCUGACGGUACCCAAAGAAUAAGCACCGGCUAACUUCGUG
rnacentral:rRNA from 1 species